UACGUAGGGGGCAAGCGUUGUCCGGAAUCAUUGGGCAUAAAGAGCGUGUAGGCGGCUCGGUAAGUCCGGUGUGAAAGUCCAUGGCUCAACCCUGGAAUGCCGGUGGAAACUGUCGAGCUAGAGUCCGGAAGAGGCGAGUGGAAUUCCUGGUGUAGCGGUGAAAUGCGCAGAUAUCAGGAGGAACACCAAUGGCGAAGGCAGCUCGCUGGGACGGUACUGACGCUGAGACGCGAAAGCGUGGGGAGCAAACAGG
rnacentral:rRNA from 1 species